UCUCUGGUAGCUCAGAGGUUAAAGCGUCUGCCUGCAAUGCUGGAAACCCCGGUUCAAUCCCUGGGUUGGGAA
rnacentral:tRNA from 1 species